GACAGAGGUGCCAAGCGUUAGGCGGAAUCACUGGGCUUAAAGCGUGUGUAGGCGGAUCGUUAAGUACCUUGUGAAAUCCCACGGCUCAACCGUGGAACUGCUGGGUAUACUGGCGAUCUUGAGCCACCUAGGGGCGAGCGGAACAAGCGGUGGAGCGGUGAAAUGCGUAGAUAUCGGGAGGAACACCAGUAGCGAAGGCGGCUCGCUGGGCCAUUCCUGACGCUGAGACGCGAAAGCUAGGGGAGCGAACAGG
rnacentral:rRNA from 1 species